AUGGCCUGCGCCUUCUUCUUCGACGCCGAGCCGGUCGGCGAGCCCGGCGUGCACGCCCUGGACGCGUGCGCGCUCUGCACCAAGCCGCUGGCGCGGGACAGCGACAUCUUCAUGUACAGAGGAGACACGCCCUUUUGCAGCGACGAGUGCCGCCAGGAGCAGAUGCAGCUCGACGCCGCCUGCGCCAGGCAGGCGGCCGCCCGGAGGCAGAAGCAGUUUUCUUCGGGAACGGAGUCCGGGCGCGCACGCCGGGAGUCAUGGGAGGUUUCCGUCGCGAGCUAA
rnacentral:rRNA from 1 species